UUCUUUCGGCUUGUCCCUUUUGGGGUCGCCACAGCGUGUCAUCUCAGAUGAACACACAUAUAUGUUUGGCACAAUUUUUACGCCGGAUGUGGUGAUGCGCCUAAUUUGUGAGUUUUUUCUAAUGGCCGCAAGGGGGCACUUGAGUGGAAAAGGUAAGAGUGAGACCGGUGGAAUAUAUGUGCCGAGGAAGUGGCUUUUAGCGGUCCUGUUAGCGCUGUGCUACCGUGUUGCUGCUGUGUUAUUGGCGUGUCUCAGUGAUAUUUACCGAGCGAGCUCCUGGUUGGUUCCUCCUCCGCUGAGCACACUGGAACAAGCCAUGUUCAUCAGAUUCUCCACUAGAAAGGACAACAUGAGGAGGAGGACGAGGGGGAGGAUUAAUGGCCGUCGUGCAAAGGGAGCCAAACCAACUCGGCCUUGUGCGCGUCCAACUGAGCCAAAUUCUGCUGCCGCAACUCGGGAAUUUCCGCUUGGUACUGCUGCCCGAUGUUGAUGCGCCUGCACACCAAAAGGAAGCAAG